rnacentral:misc_RNA from 1 species
ACGUCAUCCCCACCUUCCGUUCCCACGUCGCUUCUUCAACCCCAUGGUGUCUCCAUGACACCUUUACCAACGGUAAGUUUUGCCCCGUAGCACUUGCUCCCGGGUAUCUAAUCCGGUU